CGCAGGAAAUUUGAGAGGAGCUGUCCUUAGUACGAGAGGACCGGGAUGGACACACCGCUGGUGUACCAGUUGUUCCGCCAGGGGCAUCGCUGGGUAGCUAUGUGUGGCCGGGAUAAGUGCUGAAAGCAUCUAAGCACGAAGCCCCCCUCAAGAUGAGAUUUCCCAUUGCGCAAGCAAGUAAGAUCCCUCAAAGACGAUGAGGUAGAUAGGUUCGGGGUGGAAGCGUGGCGACACGUGCAGCUGACGAAUACUAAUCGAUCGAGGACUUAACCAA
rnacentral:ncRNA from 1 species